ensembl:misc_RNA 7SK 7SK RNA
GGAUGUGAGGGCCAUCGGGCUGUGACAUCUGUCACACAUUCAUUUCCAGGGUGGAUUCUGCUGAUUUGGUUGGCUAGGUGGGGUCCCCUCCUCCCUCACCACUCCAUGUACAUCCCUCCCGAAGCUGUGUGCUUGGUCGAAGAGGACGGCUAACCCUGAGAGAGGAACAUUUUCCUCCGUCAAGGUAUAGGAGUAGCUGCACUCUCCUGCUAGAACCUCCAAACAAGCUCUCAAGGAAUACAAAUGAGGGAGGUCAGGAAAAGGUUUAAAGAUUGUAGGGUUUGGUUUUUGUUUUUUGGUACUAAGGAUCAAA